GAUGAACGCUGGCGGCGUGCCUAAUACAUGCAAGUCGAGCGAACAGACGAGGAGCUUGCUCCUCUGACGUUAGCGGCGGACGGGCGAGUAACACGUGGAUAACCUACCUAUAAGACUGGGAUAACUUCGGGAAACCGGCGCUAAUACCGGAUAAUAUAUUGAGCCGCAUGGUUCAAUAGUGAAAGACGGUUUUGCUGUCCCUUAUAGAUGGAUCCGCGCCGCAUUAGCUAGUUGGUAAGGUAACGGCUUACCAAGGCAACGAUGCGUAGCCGACCUGAGAGGGUGAUCGGCCACACUGGAACUGAGACAAGGUCCAGACUCCUACGGGAGGCAGCAGUAGGGAAUCUUCCGCAAUGGGCGAAAGCCUGACGGAGCACCGCCGCGUGAGUGAUGAAGGUCUUCGGAUCGUAAAACUCUGUUAUUAGGGAAGAACAAAUGUGUAAGUAACUAUGCACGUCUUGACGGUACCUAAUCAGAAAGCCACGGCUAACUACGUG
rnacentral:rRNA from 1 species